rnacentral:lncRNA from 1 species
UUCAAGAUACAGAACUAUUUGGCUCUGUUUAUUUUUGUUCCAAGUGGGCAGGACCCUCUUGCCUGUUGUGACUAAUCCACUUGUCAGGGCUGGAAUCUCCUAACAGUUCCUCCAGGUCCAUGCUGGGCGUCGGAGGGGCUCAGUCCCGCGUCCGCGAUCUCCGCUGCGGGAACUCCGGCGCCGCUACCGCUGCUACUCAGCCUGCGCCCUCGAACUUCCGCAGCCCGGUUCGGCAGCGGCUGGGACCUGGAACAAAGAGGCCCUGGCAGCCAAUGGCAGCGGGGCAGCGCCGGGUAGCGGCCAAUCAGCGCGCGCCGCACGCACCUUCGCGGCCGGAGCGUGCGGCUGGCAAGGUGAGGGGCGGGGCCGCGAGGGGCGGGGCCCUGCGGAGUUCCCUG